ensembl:snoRNA
AAUACUAUACUUUCGGGAUCAUUUCUAUAGUUCAUUACUGGAGAAGUUUCUUUGACUGUGUAGAGUACCAGAAACCACGAGGAGGAGACAUAGCGUUCUCUCCUGAGCAUGAAGCCAGCUCUUAGUGUGCUUCAUUGCAACUGCCACUUGCCAUUGAUGAUUGUUCUCUCUUUUGGGAGAGUCAAGAGAAAGGAUGCAGUCUGAGUGGUU